UCUGGGCGUAAGCGUGCGCAGGCGGUUGUGCAGACCGAUGUGAAAUCCCCGGGCUUAACCUGGGAAUUGCAUUGGUGACUGCACGGCUAGAGUGUGUCAGAGGGGGGUAGAAUUCCACGUGUAGCAGUGAAAUGCGUAGAGAUGUGGAGGAAUACCGAUGGCGAAGGCAGCCCCCUGGGAUAACACUGACGCUCAUGCACGAAAGCGUGGGGAGCAAACAGGAUUAGAUACCCUGGUAGUCCACGCCCUAAACGAUGUCAACUAGUUGUUGGGGAUUCAUUUCCUUAGUAACGUAGCUAACGCGUGAAGUUGACCGCCUGGGGAGUACGGUCGCAAGAUUA
rnacentral:rRNA from 1 species